UUUGGGCUGUGGUUAGGGGUAGAGCAUGUGCUUAGUAUGCACGAUGCCCUGGGUUCAAUCCCUAGUACCAAAG
rnacentral:tRNA from 1 species